rnacentral:rRNA from 1 species
AGUGAACGCUGGCGGUAGGCCUAACACAUGCAAGUCGAACGGCAGCACAGUAAGAGCUUGCUCUUACGGGUGGCGAGUGGCGGACGGGUGAGGAAUACAUCGGAAUCUACUUUUUCGUGGGGGAUAACGUAGGGAAACUUACGCUAAUACCGCAUACGACCUACGGGUGAAAGCAGGGGAUCUUCGGACCUUGCGCGAUUGAAUGAGCCGAUGUCGGAUUAGCUAGUUGGCGGGGUAAAGGCCCACCAAGGCGACGAUCCGUAGCUGGUCUGAGAGGAUGAUCAGCCACACGGGAAAUGAGACACGGUCCAGCCCCCUAGGGGAGGCAGAAGGGGGGAAUUUUGGAAAAGGGGCGCAAGCCUGAUCCAGCCAAACCGCGGGGGUGAAGAAGGCUUUCGGGUUGUAAAGCCCUUUUGUUGGGAAAAAAAAGCAGCAGGUUAAAACCCCGCUGUUCUGAGGGUACCCAAAAAAUAAGCACCGGCUAAUUUCGU